rnacentral:rRNA from 1 species
UACGAAGGGGGCUAGCGUUGCUCGGAAUCACUGGGCGUAAAGCGCACGUAGGCGGAUUGCUAAGUCAGGGGUGAAAUCCUGGAGCUCAACUCCAGAACUGCCUUUGAUACUGGCGACCUUUGAGUCCGGGAGAGGAACGCGGAAUUCCAGGUGUAGCGGUGAAAUGCGUAGAUAUCUGGAGGAACACCGGUGGCGAAGGCGGCGUUCUGGACUGCAACUGACACUGAGGAACGAAAGCGUGGGGAGCAAACAGG